rnacentral:rRNA from 1 species
UAAUACGGAGGGUGCAAGCGUUAAUCGGAAUUACUGGGCGUAAAGCGCACGCAGGCGGUUUGUUAAGUCAGAUGUGAAAUCCCCGGGCUCAACCUGGGAACUGCAUUUGAAACUGGCAAGCUAGAGUCUCGUAGAGGGGGGUAGAAUUCCAGGUGUAGCGGUGAAAUGCGUAGAGAUCUGGAGGAAUACCGGUGGCGAAGGCGGCCCCCUCGGACGAAGACUGACGCUCAGGUGCGAAAGCGUGGGGAGCAAACAGGAUUAGAUACCCUGGUAGUCCACGCUGUAAACGAUGUCGAUUUGGAGGUUGUGCCCUUGAGGCGUGGCUUCCGGAGCUAACGCGUUAAAUCGACCGCCUGGGGAGUACGGCCGCAAGGUUA